ensembl:lncRNA
ACAGACGGGAAAACAUGGAACGCGGUUUUUCUCUUGCUGGGCCUUCUUCUAAUCCUCGUAAACGUCAGGUGCGAUUUUCAGCACGUCAUGACAUCCUGCUCCUCCGUGAGGUGAUAGCACAGAACCCUUUCACUUCUAAAGAGUCAGGCCGGAUCUGGGCAAGGGUGGGUGAAAUUAUUACUGCGACCUUACAGGAUGAGAACUUUGAGGUGGAUGGACGCAGAUGCAGGGAGAGAACCAUGCUACUGCUGGAUUAUUAUAAAAAACAGGACUUUGCAAGUCUGCGCAGGUUUGGUACGGAACGCCUGUAUGCACAGAAAGAAGACCUGCUGCACGAAGUUCUGGAACUGGAGGCAGAGAAGAAUCUUCUGGCGAGUGGGGAAAGUAAAUACCAAGAUGAUGAACUCAGGAAGAGAACGCUGGAGGAAUUAUCAUCGCCUGACCCUGACAAAUCCACUGUGCUAUCAGUAACAACAGCUCCCACCACUGUGGUAGCCAGUCCAGAACCUGAGGAGCAGGAGGAGGCUGAUCUCACAGCUCCCACAGCCAAACGGCCAUGUCAGUGCUGCUGCCAGACCUACUCAGAGAUCCUGAGCUUCCUAGAAAAGCGAUUUGAAGCAGAGCAGAGUCUGCGAGAGGAGGAGAUGGCACUGAGAAGAGAAGAGCUAGAAGUCCAGAGGAGUAAGAUUGCCCUGGAUCGGGAGCGUCUCGGAGCAGAAAGAAAAGAACGGGAACGUCGGUUUGAGCUGGAGAGUCAGGAAAGGCAGGUUAUACUGGAUUUGUUAAAAGAGAAGGUCCUAAAAAAUGAACGGAACUCUGACUGAAAUUAGAAGCUUUUAGUUUCAGUCUUUGAUGUUGAACUGUCAUUCCAGCCAGUGUUAUAUUCUGCUUUCCCUGUUUGAAUUGGUCUUAUAGCAUGAAAAUAAUAUAAACCCAUAAUAUUUUAGUUGAUUAUCAUAACAUUGAAUAAAAUGGCUAAAUGCCUGGUGAUAUGUUUGUUU